CAGAGAGGUGGGAAAAUGAAAUAAAGAGGGCAGGGGCUGAGGCAGAGCUGAGCCGUAAAGCACAAGGCCUUGGGUUCCAUCACCAGCAACUCUCUUCCCGCUGCCACAGAAAAGACUUCGUUUGAACGUGUGAUCCUUCUGCCUCAGCCUUCGGAGUAGCUCUGAUUACAGGCAAAUACCACUGCGCCAUUCACUACCAGACCCCAUCAGUUGUGGAGAAGGAAGAGCGCCGUGGGCUGGAGCAAUGGCAGGCAGCCGAGGAAAGACCAGACACCUGUCCAUUCUAAACUCUCCUCACAAAAACAAUCUUGCCAGAGGGAGGAGCCGCAGGUGACGCCCGGCCACACGUCAGAGGCGGUGGGCAGUGGUCAGCAGAUGACGUCAUGCCUGGAGCGUCGGCCCACGCUGCGACAUCUGUGCGGCCACGCUGACGUGGGGCUCGGUCUCCGAGAAAACAGCGCGGCCAGAUCCAGAGUUCUAUGUUCCCUCGCAGUCGGCGCGGUUCUCCUCCAAGCACCCACCGCACCGAAGCUCAGAGUUCUUUAAAUUUGCCUAAGUGAACUGCAGCCUGCAGCCUCGGGCAGCCAAUAGGGCGGAGGGGGCGGAGUCACACCUGGGAGAGUUACCCUGCGGCCCGAGAAGGGGGAAUCAGGCUGGCUUCUUUCGAAGAGCGACAGUAGCGGCGGCCAAUCGCUCUUGAGAGGCGCAGAC
rnacentral:lncRNA from 1 species